rnacentral:antisense_RNA from 1 species
CCCUAUGGCGGCUGUGCGCGGGAGACCUUCGGGUCUGCCGGUUUGGUUUGCCCGGUUCGCCAACCUGCGUACAGCCGCCACCCUA